GAUUGCUUGUGCAAAAAAAGGCAGGGGAAAGAGGUUCUGAUGGACUUUUUGAGAUGAAGGAAGUGUAGGCUAUUCACAGAUGUAUGGGAAAAGAGCUCUGUGAGGCACAGAUUUGAGAAGAACUAUGUGGUUCCAUUCUCCAGGAAAUCAAGUUGUUGGCAGAUUUCCCAUUUCCCUUCAAGAACAUCCCAGGAUAAACCAGCUAACAGAUGAAACUGGUGGAGAGAGGACAAAAAAAAUGUGGAAAUGUAAAUUGACUUCAGCUUUUUCAUUACAUUAAUUGUUGUAGCACCUUGCUACUGAUAAACUUCCUCGUACUCUCCUGCAGAGAGAUGGAAACACUUGCAAGAGCAGAGCACACAAUGAGCCCAGUUUAAGGCAACAUCUGGAAAAUGUUUAUUUCAUAAGUUAUUUCUGCUGCUAAUUAAACAAGUUAACCUAAAACCAGAAGCUUGCAGAAUAUUAGUGUGCUAAUGAGUCCUGGGGAAGGGCAACAGCACCACACUUGUGACAUGAAGCAAAUGUAAGAUAAUAAGGGACUGCCAAGAGAAAUGAAGCUUCAAAAAUUAGUCAUGAAAGAGUCUUUAAACUUAUACCAGAGAGUCAUAGAAGAGAAGAAAAAAAAAUCUGAAUUUUGGAAGAAAAUGGAAGAGAAGACCAAUUACUGCUUGAAGAAAAAGGAAGGAGAGAAAUUGUUUGGAGUGAGGUUCAGGCAAACAAAUUUAGCAGCAGACUCAAAUAGACUGGCAUCUCAGGAGAAGAGUGGUCCGUCUCCAUGA
rnacentral:lncRNA from 1 species